rnacentral:rRNA from 1 species
GACGAACGCUGGCGGCGUGCUUAACACAUGCAAGUCGAACGGAAAGGCCCUGCUUUUGUGGGGUGCUCGAGUGGCGAACGGGUGAGUAACACGUGAGUAACCUGCCCUUGACUUUGGGAUAACUUCAGGAAACUGGGGCUAAUACCGGAUAGGAGCUCCUGCUGCAUGGUGGGGGUUGGAAAGUUUCGGCGGUUGGGGAUGGACUCGCGGCUUAUCAGCUUGUUGGUGGGGUAGUGGCUUACCAAGGCUUUGACGGGUAGCCGGCCUGAGAGGGUGACCGGCCACAUUGGGACUGAGAUACGGCCCAGACUCCUACGGGAGGCAGCAGUGGGGAAUAUUGCACAAUGGGCGGAAGCCUGAUGCAGCAACGCCGCGUGCGGGAUGACGGCCUUCGGGUUGUAAACCGCUUUCGCCUGUGACGAAGCGUGAGUGACGGUAAUGGGUAAAGAAGCACCGGCUAACUACGUGCCAGCAGCCGCGGUGAUACGUAGGGUGCGAGCGUUGUCCGGAUUUAUUGGGCGUAAAGGGCUCGUAGGUGGUUGAUCGCGUCGGAAGUGUAAUCUUGGGGCUUAACCCUGAGCGUGCUUUCGAUACGGGUUGACUUGAGGAAGGUAGGGGAGAAUGGAAUUCCUGGUGGAGCGGUGGAAUGCGCAGAUAUCAGGAGGAACACCAGUGGCGAAGGCGGUUCUCUGGGCCUUUCCUGACGCUGAGGAGCGAAAGCGUGGGGAGCGAACAGGCUUAGAUACCCUGGUAGUCCACGCUGUAAACGGUGGGUACUAGGUGUGGGGUCCAUUCCACGGGUUCCGUGCCGUAGCUAACGCUUUAAGUACCCCGCCUGGGGAGUACGGCCGCAAGGCUAAAACUCAAAGGAAUUGACGGGGCCCCGCACAAGCGGCGGAGCAUGCGGAUUAAUUCGAUGCAACGCGUAGAACCUUACCUGGGUUUGACAUGGAUCGGGAGUGCUCAGAGAUGGGUGUGCCUCUUUUGGGGUCGGUUCACAGGUGGUGCAUGGCUGUCGUCAGCUCGUGUCGUGAGAUGUUGGGUUAAGUCCCGCAACGAGCGCAACCCUUGUUCACUGUUGCCAGCACGUUAUGGUGGGGACUCAGUGGAGACCGCCGGGGUCAACUCGGAGGAAGGUGGGGAUGACGUCAAGUCAUCAUGCCCCUUAUGUCCAGGGCUUCACGCAUGCUACAAUGGCUGGUACAGAGAGUGGCGAGCCUGUGAGGGUGAGCGAAUCUCGGAAAGUCGGUCUCAGUUCGGAUUGGGGUCUGCAACUCGACCUCAUGAAGUCGGAGUCGCUAGUAAUCGCAGAUCAGCAACGCCGCGGUGAAUACGUUCCCGGGGCUU